rnacentral:rRNA from 1 species
GACGAACGCUGGCGGCGUGCCUAAUACAUGCAAGUAGAACGCAGUUGCGAACGGGUGAGUAACGCGUAGGUAACUGCCUGGUAGCGGGGGAUAACUAUUGGAAACGAUAGCUAAUACCGCAUACUACCAGAUGGACCUGCGUUGUAUUAGCUAGUUGGUGGGGUAACGGCUCACCAAGGCAACGAUACAUAGCCGACCUGGGAGGGUGGACGGCCACACUGGGAAUGAGACAAGGGCCAGACUCCUACGGGAGGCAGCAGUAGGGAAUCUUCGGGAAGGGGGGGAACGCUGAACGAGCAACGGCGGGGGAGUGAAGAAGGUUUUCGGAUCGUAAAGCUCUGUUGGUAAGGAAGCGGUACUUAACCAGAAAGGGACGGCUAACUACGUGCCAGCCGCCGCGGUAAUAC